rnacentral:rRNA from 1 species
AGUGGCGGACGGGUGAGUAACGCGUGGGUAACCUGCCCUAUACAGGGGGAUAACAGUUAGAAAUGACUGCUAAUACCGCAUAAGCGCACAGGACCGCAUGGUUCGGUGUGAAAAACUGAGGUGGUAUAGGAUGGACCCGCGUCUGAUUAGCUUGUUGGUGGGGUAACGGCUCACCAAGGCGACGAUCAGUAGCCGGCCUGAGAGGGCGACCGGCCACAUUGGGACUGAGACACGGCCCAAACUCCUACGGAAGGCAGCAG